rnacentral:rRNA from 1 species
AGUGCAUAUGGUGAAUGCCUUGGCGAUUACAGGCGAUGAAGGACGUGGUAGUCUGCGAAAUUUUUCGGGGAGCUGGCAAACAAGCUUUGAUCCGGAAGUGUCCGAAUGGGGAAACCCACCCGCAAGGGUAUCCAUCUCUGAAUUCAUAGGAGAUGUGAAGCAAACCGAGUGAACUGAAACAUCUUAGUAACUCGAGGAAAAGAAAUCAACCGAGAUUCCGGCAGUAGUGGCGAGCGAAACCGGAACAGCCUGUUAUUUUUAGCACACGCGUUAAUAGAACGGAAUGGAAAGUCCGGCCGUAGAGGGUGAUAGUCCCGUAUAUGAAAGCCCGUGUGUGGAACUAGGGUAACGAUAAGUAGGACGGGACACGUGAAAUCUUGUCUGAAUAUGGGGGGACCAUCCUCCAAGGCUAAAUACUCGUAAUCGACCGAUAGUGAACUAGUACCGUGAGGGAAAGGUGAAAAGAACCCCGGGAGGGGAGUGAAAUAGAUUCUGAAACCGUAUGCAUACAAACAGUAGGAGCCCUUCGGGGUGACUGCGUACCUUUUGUAUAAUGGGUCAGCGACUUACAUUCAGUAGCAAGCUUAACCGAUAGGGAAGGCGUAGCGAAAGCGAGUCCUAAUAGGGCGUCUUAGUUACUGGGUGUAGACCCGAAACCAAGUGAUCUAUCCAUGGCCAGGAUGAAGGUGCCGUAACAGGUACUGGAGGUCCGAACCCACAAAUGUUGAAAAAUUUGGGGAUGAGCUGUGGAUAGGGGUGAAAGGCUAAACAAACUUGGAGAUAGCUGGUUCUCUCCGAAAACUAUUUAGGUAGUACCUCGUAUCUUACUCUCGGGGGUAGAGCACUGUUAUGGCUAGGGGGUCCUUAAGGACUUACCAAACCAUUGCAAACUCCGAAUACCGAGAAGUACAAUUACGGGAGACAGACAGCGGGUGCUAACGUCCGUUGUCAAGAGGGAAACAACCCAGACCGCCAGCUAAGGUCCCAAAUAUAUGCUAAGUGGUAAACGAAGUGAGAAGGCCCAGACAGCCAGGAGGUUGGCUUAGAAGCAGCCACCCUUUAAAGAAAGCGUAAUAGCUCACUGGUCGAGUCGUCUCGCGCGGAAGAUGUAACGGGGCUAAGCAUAUAACCGAAGCUGCGGAUGCAUAUUUAUAUGCAUGGUAGGAGAGCGUUCUGUAAGUCUGUGAAGGUGUUCUGUGAGGAAUGCUGGAGAUAUCAGAAGUGCGAAUGCUGACAUGAGUAGCGAUAAAGGGAGUGAAAGGCUCCCUCGCCGAAAGCCCAAGGUUUCCUGCGCAACGUUCAUCGGCGCAGGGUGAGUCGGCCCCUAAGGUGAGGCAGAAAUGCGUAGCCGAUGGGAAACAGGUUAAUAUUCCUGUACCUCAAUUUAAUGCGAUGUGGGGACGGAGAAGGUUAGGUCAGCCAGGUGUUGGAUAUCCUGGUUCAAGCAUGUAGAUAGAUUCCUUAGGUAAAUCCGGGGAGUUAAUAUCAAGAUGUGUUAACGAGUGAACUUUUGUUCAUGAAGUGAUUGACACCACGCUUCCAAGAAAAGCCACUAAGCUUCAGUUAGAUUGAGACCGUACCGCAAACCGACACAGGUGGGCAGGAUGAGAAUUCUAAGGCGCUUGAGAGAACUCUGGAGAAGGAACUCGGCAAAUUUGUACCGUAACUUCGGGAUAAGGUACGCCCCAGUAGGUUGUAGCAUUUUACAUGCGAAGGCCGAUGGGGUUGCAGUGAAAUGGUGGCUGCGACUGUUUAUUAAAAACACAGCACUGUGCAAACACGAAAGUGGACGUAUACGGUGUGACGCCUGCCCGGUGCCGGAAGGUUAAUUGAUGGGGUUAGCUUCGGCGAAGCUCUUGAUCGAAGCCCCGGUAAACGGCGGCCGUAACUAUAACGGUCCUAAGGUAGCGAAAUUCCUUGUCGGGUAAGUUCCGACCUGCACGAAUGGAGUAACGAUGGCCACACUGUCUCCUCUAGAGACUCAGCGAAGUUGAAAUGGUUGUGAAGAUGCAAUCUACCCGCGGUUAGACGGAAAGACCCCAUGAACCUUUACUAUAGCUUUACAUUGGACUUUGAUAACAUCUGUGUAGGAUAGGUGGGAGACUUUGAAGCAGGAUCGCUAGAUCUUGUGGAGUCACCCUUGAAAUACCACCCUGAUGUUGUUGAGGUUCUAACCCAGGUCCCUUAUCGGGAUCGGGGACCGUGUAUGGUGGGUAGUUUGACUGGGGCGGUCUCCUCCCAAAGAGUAACGGAGGAGCGCGAAGGUACCCUCAGCAUGGUCGGAAAUCAUGCUAUGAGUGCAAUGGCAUAAGGGUGCUUGACUGCGAGACGGACAGGUCGAGCAGGUACGAAAGUAGGUCAUAGUGAUCCGGUGGUUCUGUAUGGAAGGGCCAUCGCUCAACGGAUAAAAGGUACUCUGGGGAUAACAGGCUGAUUCCUCCCAAGAGUUCAUAUCGACGGGGGAGUUUGGCACCUCGAUGUCGGCUCAUCACAUCCUGGGGCUGUAGUCGGUCCCAAGGGUAUGGCUGUUCGCCAUUUAAAGUGGUACGUGAGCUGGGUUUAAAACGUCGUGAGACAGUUUGGUCCCUAUCUGCCGUGGGCGUUGGAAGUUUGAAGGGGGCUGUUCCUAGUACGAGAGGACCGGAAUGGACAGAUCUCUGGUGGACCGGUUGUUACGCCAGUAGCAUAGCCGGGUAGCUAAAUCUGGAAAAGAUAAACGCUGAAAGCAUCUAAGCGUGAAACUUGCCCUAAGAUGAGACUUCCCUUGCACUUUAAGUGCACUAAAGAGUCGUUCAAGACCAGGACGUUGA